rnacentral:snRNA from 1 species
GAGGAACCGUUGAUUCGCACAA